AGGAUUAUAGUUUUUAUAAAACAUUUGAUUUGCAUUCAAAAAAAUUAAAUUUAAUUUAAUUAUCUU
rnacentral:tRNA from 1 species